UGUGUGUGUAUGUGUGUGUGUGUGUGCAUGUGUGCAUGUGUGCAUGUGCACAAAUUGAGAAAGUAGAUCCGAUGAAAUAGGUAGAUAUCACACAUACACAUACAUACACACACCCACAUACACAAA